GUCGAGCGGUAACAGAUCCAGCUUGCUGGAUGCUGACGAGCGGCGGACGGGUGAGUAAUGCAUAGGAAUCUGCCCGAUAGUGGGGGAUAACCUGGGGAAACCCAGGCUAAUACCGCAUACGUCCUACGGGAGAAAGGGGGCUCCGGCUCCCGCUAUGGGAUGAGCCUAUGUCGGAUUAGCUAGUUGGUGAGGUAACGGCUCACCAAGGCCACGAUCCGUAGCUGGUCUGAGAGGAUGAUCAGCCACAUCGGGACUGAGACACGGCCCGAACUCCUACGGGAGGCAGCAGUGGGGAAUAUUGGACAAUGGGGGAAACCCUGAUCCAGCCAUGCCGCGUGUGUGAAGAAGGCCCUCGGGUUGUAAAGCACUUUCAGCGAGGAAGAACGCCUAGCGGUUAAUACCCGCUAGGAAAGACAUCACUCGCAGAAGAAGCACCGGCUAACUCCGUGCCAGCAGCCGCGGUAAUACGGAGGGUGCAAGCGUUAAUCGGAAUUACUGGGCGUAAAGCGCGCGUAGGUGGCUUGAUAAGCCGGUUGUGAAAGCCCCGGGCUCAACCUGGGAACGGCAUCCGGAACUGUCAAGCUAGAGUGCAGGAGAGGAAGGUAGAAUUCCCGGUGUAGCGGUGAAAUGCGUAGAGAUCGGGAGGAAUACCAGUGGCGAA
rnacentral:rRNA from 1 species